rnacentral:rRNA from 1 species
AACGGGGGGGGCGGGCUUACCAUGCAAGUCGAGCGGUAAGGCCCUUCGGGGUACACGAGCGGCGAACGGGUGAGUAACACGUGAGCAACCUGCCCCUGACUCUGGGAUAAGCGGUGGAAACGCCGUCUAAUACCGGAUACGACCCACCACCUCAUGGUGGAGGGUGGAAAGUUUUAUCGGUCAGGGAUGGGCUCGCGGCCUAUCAGCUUGUUGGUGGGGUAACGGCCUACCAAGGCGAUUACGGGUAGCCGGCCUGAGAGGGCGACCGGCCACACUGGGACUGAGACACGGCCCAGACUCCUGCGGGAGGCAGCAGUGGGGAAUAUUGCACAAUGGGCGAAAGCCUGAUGCAGCGACGCCGCGUGGGGGAUGACGGCCUUCGGGUUGUAAACCUCUUUUACCACCAACGCAGGCUCCACGUUCUCGUGGGGUUGACGGUAGGUGGGGAAUAAGGACCGGCUAACUACGUGCCAGCAGCCGCGGUAAUACGUAGGGUCCGAGCGUUGUCCGGAAUUAUUGGGCGUAAAGAGCUCGUAGGCGGCAUGUCGCGUCUGCUGUGAAAGACCGGGGCUUAACUCCGGUUCUGCAGUGGAUACGGGCAUGCUAGAGGUAGGUAGGGGAGACUGGAAUUCCUGGUGUAGCGGUGAAAUGCGCAGAUAUCAGGAGGAACACCGGUGGCGAAGGCGGGUCUCUGGGCCUUACCUGACGCUGAGGAGCGAAAGCAUGGGGAGCGAACAGGAUUAGAUACCCUGGUAGUCCAUGCCGUAAACGUUGGGCGCUAGGUGUGGGGACUUUCCACGGUUUCCGCGCCGUAGCUAACGCAUUAAGCGCCCCGCCUGGGGAGUACGGCCGCAAGGCUAAAACUCAAAGGAAUUGACGGGGGCCCGCACAAGCGGCGGA